AUUGAACGCUGGCGGCAGGCCUAACACAUGCAAGUCGAGCGGACGGCGGGCGGGUAAGGAAUGUAUAGGGAUCUGCCCGAUAGCGAGGGCUACCUGCUGGAAGCGGUAACUCCUACCGCAUCCUAUCGGAUAACCAAUAUGUGAUUAGCUGGUAGGUGAGGUAAUUGCUCACCUAGGCGACGAUCCCUAGCUGGUCUGAGAGGAUGAUCAGCCACACUGGGACUGAGACACGGCCCAGACUCCUACGGGAGGCAGCAGUGGGGAAUAUUGCACAAUGGGCGCAAGCCUGAUGCAGCCAUGCCGCGUGUAUGAAGAAGGCCCUAGGGUUGUAAAGUACUUUAAGUCGGGAGGCGUUACCGACAGAAUAAGCACCGGCUAACUCCGUGCCAGCAGCCGCGGUAAUAC
rnacentral:rRNA from 1 species